rnacentral:rRNA from 1 species
UGGGGAAUAUUGCACAAUGGGCGCAAGCCUGAUGCAGCCAUGCCGCGUGUAUGAAGAAGGCCUUCGGGUUGUAAAGUACUUUCAGCGGGGAGGAAGGCGAUAAGGUUAAUAACCUUGUCGAUUGACGUUACCCGCAGAAGAAGCACCGGCUAACUCCGUGCCAGCAGCCGCGGUAAUACGGGGGGUGCAAGCGUUAAUCGGAAUUACUGGGCGUAAAGCGCACGCAGGCGGUCUGUCAAGUCGGAUGUGAAAUCCCCGGGCUCAACCUGGGAACUGCAUUCGAAACUGGCAGGCUAGAGUCUUGUAGAGGGGGGUAGAAUUCCAGGUGUAGCGGUGAAAUGCGUAGAGAUCUGGAGGAAUACCGGUGGCGAAGGCGGCCCCCUGGACAAAGACUGACGCUCAGGUGCGAAAGCGUGGGGAGCAAACA